CCUACGGGAGGCAGCAGUGGGGAAUAUUGCACAAUGGGGGAAACCCUGAUGCAGCGACGCCGCGUGAGUGAAGAAGUUCUUCGGUGUGUAAAGCUCUGUCAGCAGGGAAGAAAAUGACGGUACCUGAGUAAGAAGCCCCGGCUAACCACGUGCCAGCAGCCGCGGUAAUACGUAGGGGGCAAGCGUUAUCCGGAUUUACUGGGUGUAAAGGGAGCGUAGACGGCAGUGCAAGUCAGGAGUGAAAGCCGGGGGCUCAACCCCCGGACUGCUCUUGAAACUGGACGGCUGGAGUGCAGGAGAGGAAAGUGGAAUUCCUGGUGUAGCGGUGAAAUGCGUAGAUAUUAGGAGGAACACCAGUGGCGAAGGCGGCUUACUGGACUGUAACUGACGUUGAGGCGCGAAAGCGUGGGGAGCAAACAGGAUUAGAUACCCUUGUAGUC
rnacentral:rRNA from 1 species